AAGGAGUCUAACAUGUAUGCGAGUAUUUGGGUGGCAAACCCUUAUGCGUAUGAAAGUGAAAAUGGUGGGAUAUUUGCACCAUCGACCGGCCUGGAUUUUUUUGAUAGGUCUGAGUGAGAGCAUAUAUGCUGGGACCCGAAAGAUGGUGAACUAUGCCUGAAUAGGGUGAAGCCAGAGGAAACUCUGGUGGAAGCUCGUAGCGAUUCUGACGUGCAAAUCGAUCGUCAAAUUUGGGUAUAGGGGCGAAAGACUAAUCGAACCAUCUAGUAGCUGGUUCCCUC
rnacentral:misc_RNA from 1 species